rnacentral:rRNA from 1 species
ACUCCUGCGGGAGGCAGCAGUGGGGAAUUUUGGACAAUGGGGGCAACCCUGAUCCAGCAAUGCCGCGUGAGUGAAGAAGGCAUUCGGGUUGUAAAGCUCUUUUGUCAGGGAAGAAACGGUGGUGGCGAAUAACUACUACUAAUGACGGUACCUGAAGAAUAAGCACCGGCUAACUACGUGCCAGCAGCCGCGGUAAUACGUAGGGUGCAAGCGUUAAUCGGAAUUACUGGGCGUAAAGCGUGCGCAGGCGGUUGUGUAAGUCAGAUGUGAAAUCCCCGGGCUCAACCUGGGAAUUGCAUUUGAGACUGCACGGCUAGAGUGUGUCAGAGGGGGGUAGAAUUCCACGUGUAGCAGUGAAAUGCGUAGAUAUGUGGAGGAAUACCGAUGGCGAAGGCAGCCCCCUGGGAUAACACUGACGCUCAUGCACAAAAGCGUGGGGAGCAAACAGGAUUAGAAACCCCUGUAGUCCCA